AUUGCGGCGAGGAAUGAAAUGUGGCAACCAUGUUUAGUCGCUAUCCUUCUCUUUUAGCUUGCUUUCUCUCUUCCGUCACAUUUUACCGAUACCCGUGAUCACAGAAACAUAUGCGUGUGCCACCUGACGGUCGAAAAUAUUUCUAAUUUGGUUUGGCUAAUGUCCGUUCGCACAAUUGCAGCGCGACGAUCAACUCCGGGUGCAAGCUGAUCCGAUACCGGGCCCAUAAUGACACCGUGCUUUAUUUAUCUCUUCCACCGGCGGCGAUCUAUGUAUUCGUGGUGAGAUCUAUGCAGUCGGUACUGUGUGCCCGAUAGAUCGGCAGGGAACGAGGAUAAUAUUCAGUUAAAAUCUACGAAUGUUGAAUUUCGAUUGCUUUCGAUUGUUCAUCUUCAUUACGUGAGUUUAACGAAGAAGAUGUCACGAAAAACAAUUACUAAAGCCCGGCACGAGAUAGACACACUCUACGACACUAGCCAAUCGGCCACAUUGAAUAAAUUACUUGAAUUAAUUGAAUAAAUUAACGAUACCCAUUCGAUUAUCACGAAAACAAACGAAAAUUUGAAUUGGAAAACAUAUGAACCUCAGGAAACAAUUCAAAAUUGUUUCAGUACUUAUUUUCAAAAAGGAUACUCAAAUCUAUGGCUGGUGGAACAAGGAAACCAAAGGAUUUCGCAACUUUUGCCAAAUCCAACGUUUCAAUGUCGAAAAUCUGCUUCAAAUGGUGCGAGUCGUACGCUCUCACGUAUGCUUUAAAUGCCUCUUUUGCUGACAUGUUUAAAAAGUAAUUUUUGGAAAUUAACUUUUCAAGCUGAAAGGGAAGCAUCAACAAUUUAUAAACAUUUUUUACUCUUGAAUACUAUAAAACCUAAAUUUAUAAUUUUAUUCUGCUCAUGAAAGUUUUAUAAAACAAUUGAACACCAACAUAUUAUUCGAUCUCAAUUUAUACAAAUUUUCAAGAAAAAUUAGCAUCUUACCUGCAGUUGGAUAUCCGCAAUUUUAUUCCAUGAAAAAUCGAAUUCAUUUACCGGAACCUUUGCUUGUUUAAGAUAACGGAGAAAACCGAGUUCUUCUGGCCUCAAAAUUAAUAAGGCAUGUCCACUGCUGCCUUCUCCUCGGGCAGUUCUACCAACCCGAUGAAUAUAUUCCUGAAAUGGCAUUUACAACGACAUAUCACUGAAAAAUCUUACAAAUAUAUUCCUGCAUUUUAAACUUUGAUGCAUUUUUGAUAAUUAACCUUAGGAUCAUCGGGUGGAUCGUAUUGAAUGAUCCAAUCAACGGCAGGAAUAUCAAGACCACGAGCUGCUACGUCGGUACAAAGAAGUAUACCAGAAGUCGCGUUACAAAAUUGGAAGAAUGUUGUCGUUCUCUUCGUCUGCUUUUGUUUUCCCUAAGAAAUCAAAAAUUCAUAGGAAUAUCUUACAUUUCCAUAUCUAUCAACCAUUUUGAUACACUUACAUGUAUACUUAAUACUGGUAAAUCAAUGUAAUUCAAAAGCUCAUUGUGAUACUUGACCGACAUACAAGAGCUGAAGAAAACCAUCACUUUUUUUUUUCGAUUUUUCUUCAAGAAAGUAAAUAACAGUAAGAAUCUUUUCUCGCUAGGGCAACACACGUAUCCCUGUUCCAAACCUUCAACCGUUGCUUUAUCCUUAUCAUCAUCAACGCCAACGUAAAUCGGUUUUUUUUUCAAUGCUAAAGUUGUUAACAUUUCAGUUUUUUUUGUUUGCGUAGCGCUGAACAACAUUGUUUGUCUCUUUUCUGUAAAUAUAAUAAGUUGAUAAUCUUUAACAGUA